rnacentral:rRNA from 1 species
UGGGGAAUUUUGGACAAUGGGCGCAAGCCUGAUCCAGCCAUGCCGCGUGUCUGAAGAAGGCCUUCGGGUUGUAAAGGACUUUUGUCAGGGAAGAAAAGGCUGUUGCUAAUAUCAGCGGCUGAUGACGGUACCUGAAGAAUAAGCACCGGCUAACUACGUGCCAGCAGCCGCGGUAAUACGUAGGGUGCAAGCGUUAAUCGGAAUUACUGGGCGUAAAGCGAGCGCAGACGGUUACUUAAGCAGGAUGUGAAAUCCCCGGGCUCAACCCGGGAACUGCGUUCUGAACUGGGUGACUAGAGUGUGUCAGAGGGAGGUAGAAUUCCACGUGUAGCAGUGAAAUGCGUAGAGAUGUGGAGGAAUACCGAUGGCGAAGGCAGCCUCCUGGGAUAACACUGACGUUCAUGCUCGAAAGCGUGGGUAGCAAACAGGAUUAGAUACCCUGGUAGUCCACGCCCUAAACGAUGUCAAUUAGCUGUUGGGCAACUUGAUUGUUCAGUAGCGUAGCUAACGCGUGAAAUUGACCGCCUGGGGAGUACGGUCGCAAGAUUA